GGGAGGAGGCCGGAUCCUGGGCUGUGUCCCGGCGCCCGUUGGAUUCGCGCUCUGGCCGGCCGCGCAGCCCCCU
rnacentral:pre_miRNA from 1 species